UUCCGGUUGAUCCUGCCGGAGGCUACCGCUAUUGGAGUUCGAUUAAGCCAUGCGAGUCGCGAGUCUUAGGGACUCGGCGUACCGCUCAGUAACACGUGGGUAACCUGCCCUAUGCUGGGGGAUAACCUCGGGAAACUGAGAAUAAUACCCCAUAGUUCACCACGCCUGGAACGGUGGGUGGAUCAAAGCCCCGGCGGCAUAGGAUGGGCCUGCGGCGUAUCAGGUUGUAGGGGGUGUAAUGUACCCUCUAGCCCUCUACGCGUACGGGUGUUGAGAGACAUAGCCCGGAGAUGGAUUCUGAGACACGAAUCCAGACCCUACGGGGUGCAGCAGGCGCGAAAACUUGGCAAUGCGAGAAAUCGUGACCAGGGAACUCCAAGUGCAUCGGGUAAGACCGAUGCUUUUCUUGACUCUUCAAAGGUCUUGGAAUAAGGGGUGGGUAAGGACGGUGCCAGCCGCCGCGGUAAUACCGGCGCCCCAAGUGGUAGUCGCUUUUAUUGGGCCUAAAA
rnacentral:rRNA from 1 species